UGGGCCGCAAGGCCGACGGAGCCCCUCUGUCGGGGCCGGGGCUGCGGUGCUGAGCUUCCUACCCGGGCCGCCCCCCGCUUUCGCGCAGCCGCGGCCCGGAGCAGGCGCGUUGUUCGCCCCCACGCCAGUAGCCUCGAGCUCUGGGAAGUCUCCCGCCCAGGUAGGGGCCCGGUGACAGAGAGAAUAGGAUAAUGGAGGAUGAUGUUUUACCCAGGAACUAACAGGACGUCCGGGAAAACCUGGCCCCAGACAGCGUUCAAGACCAUUCCCUUCUGCUUUUUUCCUGAGGGCAGAGAAUGCUGAUGCAGCAACAGUCACCUAAGACUCAAACAGGAAAAGCAAAAAAUCUCAGGAGACUCUCCACUGCGGUAGUACAGUGAGAAGUCUUUGCUUGUGCCCACUGGGGUUAUUUCAGAGCAGACGCUCCACUCAGCCCGCCACGAGCGCCUUAACCCCUUCCGGCACAGCCCAUCGCGGCUCCAACCGGGCUCGGUUGGCAGUGCCCCACCCACACAGUACCCCCCACCCAACCGUCUGUCCAUCCUUCUGUCCCUACGGCUGAUUUAUUGACCCUGACCCUCCGUUAUCUUCUUCGAUUUCCUAAUUAAUCGCAGAUAAAAGGCAAUGGUGCAAAUUACAAUGAUGAAGGGCUGGAAGAUGGUUUUGAUCAAAAUGGGAGAAGGGAGAUAUGAUUAAUUGGACGUGAGAAUGAAAUCUCAAGUGCGAGGAACAGGCCUCAGGGGGUCAAACCCUGACCCCUGAAUGUUGUGGGUGAGCCCUUCUGCCUGCUUUAGCGCCUUCAUGAGGAGGUAGUCCCUCAGAUUAGGUCACUUGGGUCCCAAGCCUGUGGAGGAGAGAGAACUGGGGUUCCUCUGGGGCUUCCAAACUCUCUAGGUGCCUGUUGCCCAACCCACUCUCCCCCCUCCCCGGACAUACUCUGCUGCUGCCUCUGCAGAAUUUCGGGAUCCCUGGCCAGUGAUUCCACUGUCCAACAGGUACGCCUUUUGGCUGAAGUGCACCCCGUUAUUGCAUAAAUGCCUGGCAAGUCUCUCACAGUUUUCCUGUCUUUGAACAUUCCUCUAGUGAGUGGGGCUAACUCUUUGUGAAACUGCAGGAAAACAAGUCUAGUAGGUCAGAGAUUGUAUUUGUUCGUGUAAGGGAUUAAUAGCGCCCCUUUCUGAUGCUGCUUUCCAGAAUUACAUUCGGGAUUAAAAAGCAGACACGGCACGGGCACACAUUUUGCAUUCCCUGGUGGUUGUGAUUAAUGUUUCCGAGGGGAUUUGUGCUGGGAGCUUACGGAACGCGCUCUCGGGGGUCUAAUGCCCAUCGGCCGCGGCGCCGGGGUGAGAGGAGGGUCUGCGGGCACGCGCCAGAGCACGGGGGAUUAGAGAGGACCUCAGAUGGGCACAGACGCCCGGUGCGGUGGCCUUUUAGUGCCGCCCCGGCACCCACCCGGCAAAACUGCUUAGGAGGAGGAAGCUGUGAGAACUGUCCCGGGGGGCGGACUUGGGGUUUUUAGGGAUAUGUGUAAAGGGAAGAUGCCCUCGAGUGGCCUGACUUUGGGGUGGGAGAAAGGGGCUCAGUACCAAGCCUCUGAACUUCAUACAUCCGUCCUGUGAGAGGAGUUCGUUCCCCACUCCCGGUUCAGGGGAAACGCUGCUCCCGGACGCGUCACUCACCGGCAA